rnacentral:rRNA from 1 species
CCUACGGGAGACAGCAGUGAGGAAUAUUGGUCAAUGGACGAGAGUCUGAACCAGCCAAGUAGCGUGAAGGAUGACUGCCCUAUGGGUUGUAAACUUCUUUUAUAUGGGAGUAAAACAGGGUAUGCAUACCCUCUUGUAUGUACCAUAUGAAUAAGGAUCGGCUAACUCCGUGCCAGCAGCCGCGGUAAUACGGAGGAUCCGAGCGUUAUCCGGAUUUAUUGGGUUUAAAGGGCGCGUAGGUGGAUUAUCAAGUCAGCGGUAAAAUCGUGGAGCUCAACUCCAGCCAGCCGUUGAAACUGAUGAGCUGGAGUGGGCGAGAAGUAGGCGGAAUGCGUGGUGUAGCGGUGAAAUGCAUAGAUAUCACGCAGAACUCCGAUGGCGAAGGCAGCAUACCGGAGCCCGACUGACGCUGAAGCACGAAAGCGUGGCUAUCGAACAGGAUUAGAUACCCUUGUAGUC